GACGAACGCUGGCGGCGUGCCAAUACAUGCAAGUCGAACGAGAGCGACCGGUGCUUGCACUGGUCAAUCUAGUGGCGAACGGGUGAGUAACACGUGGGUAACCUGCCCAUCAGAGGGGGAUAACAUUCGGAAACGGAUGCUAAAACCGCAUAGGUCCUUUAACCGCAUGGUUGAAGGAGGAAAAGAGGCGCAAGCUUCUGCUGAUGGAUGGACCCGCGGUGCAUUAGCUAGUUGGUGAGGUAACGGCUCACCAAGGCCGUGAUGCAUAGCCGACCUGAGAGGGUGAUCGGCCACAUUGGGACUGAGACACGGCCCAAACUCCUACGGGAGGCAGCAGUAGGGAAUCUUCCGCAAUGGACGCAAGUCUGACGGAGCAACGCCGCGUGAGUGAAGAAGGUUUUCGGAUCGUAAAACUCUGUUGUUAGAGAAGAACAAGUGCUAGAGUAACUGUUAGCGCCUUGACGGUAUCUAACCAGAAAGCCACGGCUAACUACGUGCCAGCAGCCGCGGUAAUACGUAGGUGGCAAGCGUUGUCCGGAUUUAUUGGGCGUAAAGCGAGCGCAGGCGGUUCCUUAAGUCUGAUGUGAAAGCCCCCGGCUCAACCGGGGAGGGUCAUUGGAAACUGGGGAACUUGAGUGCAGAAGAGGAGAGUGGAAUUCCAUGUGUAGCGGUGAAAUGCGUAGAUAUAUGGAGGAACACCAGUGGCGAAGGCGACUCUCUGGUCUGUAACUGACGCUGAGGCUCGAAAGCGUGGGUAGCAAACAGG
rnacentral:rRNA from 1 species